rnacentral:rRNA from 1 species
UUCGGCUGGACCGGAUACAGGUACUGCAUGGCUGUCGUCAGCUCGGUGUCGUGAGAUGUUCGGGUUAAGUCCCGCAACGAGCGCAACCCUCGCCCUUAGUUGCCAGCAUUAGUUGGGCACUCUAAGGGGACUGCCGGUGAUAAGCCGAGAGGAAGGUGGGGAUGACGUCAAGUCAUCAUGGCCCUUACGGCCUGGGCUACACACGUGCUACAAUGGUCGGUACAAAGGGUUGCCAAGCCGCGAGGUGGAGCUAAUCCCAUAAAACCGAUCGUAGUCCGGAUCGCAGUCUGCAACUCGACUGCGUGAAGUCGGAAUCGCUAGUAAUCGUGAAUCAGAAUGUCACGGUGAAUACGUUCCCGGGCCUU